UACAACCCAGGGACCAUUUGUGGCCCGCUGACAUUUUAUUUUUCUGCCAAGUGUAUACUAAAAGUAUUUGCGAGCAGCAGUAUGGUUUCAUGCCUAGAAAGAGAACCACAGAUGCAUUAUUUGCCUUGAGGAUGUUGAUGGAAAAGUACAGAGAAGAUCGAACUUCGAUUGGAAAAUUAUCCCCGACACCCUCGGGUGGCUACUGCCACCCCUUGCCAGCCCCUACCUCCGCCCCUGAUGGGUGAAGGACGUCAGAGUAGCCCUUAUAUCCUUUAAUUUCUCUGCAUGUGGCCAUUGGGGAAAACACAACUUUGGACAACCCUGUGUUCUGCUGAUCAGCUUUCCGAAUUAUUUUUAGGGAACCGGAAAUGUUCGCUUUUUUUCCCCCAUGAGGACAUUGAGCGUCUCACGCGGCCCAAUCAGUGCACAAGCGGCAAUUAAGGGCCGCGGUUUCACGGCCCCGUCAAUCAUCCUGAGCGUGCAGCAGAGGAAGAGGAGGACGAGGAGGAGGUGUUGGAUGUGGAUGGUCAGAGCCCAGCUGGCGACGAACCGAGCCGGCGAGCGCAUUGUCGUUUAUCCAA